GCUGGGCGCCGUGGUGCACGCCUGUCAUCCCAGCGGCGGGGAGGCUGAGGCAGGAGGAUCGUGAGUUCAAAGCCAGCCUCAGCAAACGCGAGGCACUAAGCAAUUCAGUGAGACCCUGUCUCUA
rnacentral:sRNA from 1 species